rnacentral:tRNA from 1 species
GUUAUUUUGGCAGAUUAGUGCAGUAGAUUUAGAAUCUGCUUAAGUAGGUUUAUUACCUACAUAUAACA